rnacentral:tRNA from 1 species
AGCUCAGCACAGCGUUCAGGCCGUGCUGGCUUACAACCAGCAGGUCGGGGGUUCGAGUCCCUCAGCGCCCA